UGAAGCGAGCCAUAACUAUCAAUAUUGAAGGAUCACCGAAAACCGACACUCCCCAACGACAAGGCGAUGACGCAUUCGUAUGUCAAUCCAUAUCAACUUUCGAUGCCAUUUACUGCGCCUACCAUGGUGACCAUGGGUAACGGGGAAUCAGGGUUCGAUUCCGUACAGGGACCCUGACAAACGGCUACCACAUGCAAGGAAGGCAGUAGGCGCGCAAAUGACCCACUCCCGACGAGGGGAGGUAGUGACA